AUAAAGCAGGAGGUUGUUCACUUCUUAAGGCGUCUAAAUAUGUUGGAUGGUUGCUUCUUACAAGAUGAUGAGCAGGACCUGGAAAAGGUUUGCAGCUUCAACUUGAAAAACAAUUAUUCUGGUUUGAAAGCUUGUGAUAUGCUCUGCCAUCUUGGAAAUGAUUCGGUGCAGUUAGCUGCUGUAGUGUCUGAUCCGUCUAAGCAAA
rnacentral:misc_RNA from 1 species